rnacentral:rRNA from 1 species
GGAAUAUUGCACAAUGGGCGAAAGCCUGAUGCAGCAACGCCGCGUGAGGGAUGACGGCCUUCGGGUUGUAAACCUCUUUUAGUAGGGAAGAAGCGAAAGUGACGGUACCUGCAGAAAAAGCACCGGCUAACUACGUGCCAGCAGCCGCGGUAAUACGUAGGGUGCAAGCGUUGUCCGGAAUUAUUGGGCGUAAAGAGCUCGUAGGCGGUUUGUCGCGUCUGCUGUGAAAUCCCGAGGCUCAACCUCGGGCUUGCAGUGGGUACGGGCAGACUAGAGUGCGGUAGGGGAGAUUGGAAUUCCUGGUGUAGCGGUGGAAUGCGCAGAUAUCAGGAGGAACACCGAUGGCGAAGGCAGAUCUCUGGGCCGUAACUGACGCUGAGGAGCGAAAGCAUGGGGAGCGAACAGGAUUAGAUACCCUUG